rnacentral:rRNA from 1 species
CAACCCGUCUCUGUUGCAAAAGAGUGGGAAGAUUUUCAAGUAGAGGUGACAAGCCUAUCGAACUUAGAGAUAGCUGGUUGUUCAGGAAAAGAGUCCAAGCUCUACCUUAAGUUUUUUCAAUUAACCUAAACAAAAUCCUAAACUUAAGAGCUAUUCAAGUAAGGCACAGCUUACUUGAAACAGGGUACAACCUCCCACAUUGGGUAAGCAAGAACAAAUUAAACAAAGUCGGCCUAAGAGCAGCCAUCUUAUAAAAAGCGUUAAAGCUUAACUUAUAUGCACUUAUAAUUCCAAUAGUUACUAUUAACCCCUCAUUACUACUGAACUAUUUUAUAACCUUAUAAAAAUUAUUAUGCUAGAACUAGUAACAUGAAUACUUUUCUCCUUAAUGUAAGCUUAAACCAUAAUGGACCAUCCACUGGUAUUUAACGUAACUGUUCUUAUUAUAGCAACAUACGUCUAGAAAACCCUAUAAUCAAUAACGUUAACCUUACACUAGAACAUUAUAGGAAAGAUUAAAAGAAAGAGAAGGAACUCGGCAAACCCCAGCCCCGCCUGUUUACCAAAAACAUCGCCUCUUGCCUAACAUAAGAGGUCCAGCCUGCCCAGUGACAUAGUUUAACGGCCGCGGUACCCUAACCGUGCGAAGGUAGCAUAAUCACUUGUUCCCUAAAUAGGGACUAGUAUCAAUGGCAUCACGAGGGCUACAAUGUCUCCUCUCUCCAAUCAGUGAAACUGAUCUCCCCGUGAAGAAGCGGGGAUUUUAAUAUAAGACGAGAAGACCCCAUGGAGCUUUAAACUUAAUAUACACCUCUACCCAUCUAUACCAAUUAACCCUAAAAGUCUGUGUGUUAGUUUUAGGUUGGGGGGACCGCGGAGUACAACUCAACCUCCACGACAAACGGGCUAACGCCCUUAUCCAUGAAACACAAUUCUAAGAAUCAACAAUCUGAUGUUUUAUGACCCGACAAGUCGAUCAACGAACCAAGUUACCCUGGGGAUAACAGCGCAAUCUA